UAGUAACGGCGAGUGAAGCGGCAACAGCUCAAAUUUGAAAUCUGGCUUCGGCCCGAGUUGUAAUUUGCAGAGGAUGUUUCUGGCGCGGUGCCUUCCGAGUUCCCUGGAACGGGACGCCAUAGAGGGUGAGAGCCCCGUAUGGUUGGAUACUAAGCCUGUGUGAAACUCCUUCGACGAGUCGAGUAGUUUGGGAAUGCUGCUCAAAAUGGGAGGUAAAUCUCUUCUAAAGCUAAAUAUUGGCCAGAGACCGAUAGCGCACAAGUAGAGUGAUCGAAAGAUGAAAAGCACCUUGAAAAGGGGGUUAAACAGUACGUGAAAUUGUUGAAAGGGAAGCGCUCAUGACCAGACUUGUGCUGGGCAGCUCAUCCGGGGUUCUCCCCGGUGCACUCUGCCCAGUUCAGGCCAGCAUCGAUUUUUGCUGGGGGAUAAGAACGGUAGGAACGUGGCCCUCCUUCGGGUGGGUGUUAUAGCCUGCCGUACGAUACCCUGGCGGAGAUCGAGGUUCGCGCAUCUGCAAGGAUGCUGGCGUAAUGGUCAUCAGCGACCCGUCUUGAAACACGGACCAAGGAGUCGUCCAUUAGAGCGAGCGUUUGGGUGUAAAACCCGCACGCGUAAUGAAAGUGAAAUUAGGUGAGAGCUUCGGCGCAUCAUCGACCGAUCCUGAUGUUCUCGGAAGGAUUUGAGUAAGAGUUUUAACGGACGGACCCGAAAGACAGUGAACUAUGCUUGUAUAGGGUGAAGCCAGAGGAAACUCUGGUGGAGGCUCGCAGCGGUUCUGACGUGCAAAUCGAUCGUCAAAUAUGAGCAU
rnacentral:rRNA from 1 species